rnacentral:rRNA from 1 species
UGGUGGAGUGAUUUGUCUGGUUAAUUCCGAUAACGAACGAGACCUUAUUCUGCUAAUUAGACAGGCUAACUCUUUCGGGUUGGUUUAUAUUUAAUAUUUAACUGGCUUCUUAGAGAGACUAUCGGCUUCAAGCCGAAGGAAGUUUUAGGCAAUAACA